UACGGAGGGUGCAAGCGUUAUCCGGAUUCGCUGGGUUUAAAGGGUGCGUAGGUGGGCAAGUAAGUCAGUGGUGAAAUCUCCGGGCUUAACCCGGAAACUGCCAUUGAUACUAUUUGUCUUGAAUACUGUGGAGGUCAGCGGAAUAUGUCAUGUAGCGGUGAAAUGCUUAGAUAUGACAUAGGACACCAAUUGCGAAGGCAGCUGGCUACACAAAUAUUGACACUGAGGCACGAAAGCGUGGGGAUCAAACAGG
rnacentral:rRNA from 1 species